rfam:Camelus ferus unplaced genomic scaffold scaffold365, whole genome shotgun sequence.
GAGGGUAUAGCUUAUUGGUAGAGUGUGUGCUUAGCAUGAACAAUGUCCUGGGUUUAAUCCCCAGUACCUCCC